GGGUUGUGAGGUUAAGCGACUAAGCGUACACGGUGGAUGCCCUGGCAGUCAGAGGCGAUGAAGGACGUGCUAAUCUGCGAAAAGCGCCGGCGAGGUGAUAUGAACCUUUGACCCGGCGAUGUCCGAAUGGGGAAACCCAGUGCAAUUCGUUGCACUAUCGUUAACUGAAUACAUAGGUUAACGAGGCGAACCGGGGGAACUGAAACAUCUAAGUACCCCGAGGAAAAGAAAUCAACCGAGAUUCCCCCAGUAGCGGCGAGCGAACGGGGAGCAGCCCAGAGUCUGAAUCAGCUUGUGUGUUAGUGGAAGCGUCUGGAAAGUCGCACGGUACAGGGUGACAGUCCCGUACACGAAAGCACACAGGCUGUGAACUCGAAGAGUAGGGCGGGACACGUGGUAUCCUGUCUGAAUAUGGGGGGACCAUCCUCCAAGGCUAAAUACUCCUGACUGACCGAUAGUGAACCAGUACCGUGAGGGAAAGGCGAAAAGAACCCCGGCGAGGGGAGUGAAAAAGAACCUGAAACCGUGUACGUACAAGCAGUGGGAGCACCUUCGUGGUGUGACUGCGUACCUUUUGUAUAAUGGGUCAGCGACUUAUAUUCUGUAGCAAGGUUAACCGUAUAGGGGAGCCGAAGGGAAACCGAGUCUUAACUGGGCGUUAAGUUGCAGGGUAUAGACCCGAAACCCGGUGAUCUAGCCAUGGGCAGGUUGAAGGUUGGGUAACACUAACUGGAGGACCGAACCGACUAAUGUUGAAAAAUUAGCGGAUGACUUGUGGCUGGGGGUGAAAGGCCAAUCAAACCGGGAGAUAGCUGGUUCUCCCCGAAAGCUAUUUAGGUAGCGCCUCGUGAACUCAUCUUCGGGGGUAGAGCACUGUUUCGGCUAGGGGGCCAUCCCGGCUUACCAACCCGAUGCAAACUACGAAUACCGAAGAAUGUUAUCACGGGAGACACACGGCGGGUGCUAACGUCCGUCGUGAAGAGGGAAACAACCCAGACCGCCAGCUAAGGUCCCAAAGUCAUGGUUAAGUGGGAAACGAUGUGGGAAGGCACAGACAGCCAGGAUGUUGGCUUAGAAGCAGCCAUCAUUUAAAGAAAGCGUAAUAGCUCACUGGUCGAGUCGGCCUGCGCGGAAGAUGUAACGGGGCUAAACCAUGCACCGAAGCUGCGGCAGCGAC
rnacentral:rRNA from 1 species